rnacentral:misc_RNA from 1 species
UACUUUACUCCCUCCGUCCAUAAAAAACCAACUAAUACUGGAUGUGACACAUUCUAGUAUAAUGAAUCUGAACAUACAUCUGUCUAAAUUCAUUGUACUAUAAUAUGCCACAUCAAAUCCUAUAUUUAAUUUUUUUUUGACAGAGGGAGU